UACGGGGGGGGCAAGCGUUGUUCGGAAUUCCUGGGCGUAAAGGGCUCGUAGGCGGCCAACUAAGUCGGACGUGAAAUCCCCGAGCUCAACUCGGGAACUGCGUCCGAUACUGGCAGGCUUGAAUCCGGGAGAGGGAUGCGGAAUUCCAGGUGUAGCGGUGAAAUGCGUAGAUAUCUGGAGGAACACCGGUGGCGAAGGCGGCAUCCUGGACCGGCAUUGACGCUGAGGCGCGAAAGCCAGGGGAGCAAACGGG
rnacentral:rRNA from 1 species